rnacentral:rRNA from 1 species
UACGUAGGGGGCUAGCGUUGUCCGGAAUCAUUGGGCGUAAAGCGCGCGUAGGCGGCCCGGUAAGUCCGUUGUGAAAGUCAAAGGCUCAACCUUUGAAAGCCGGUGGAUACUGUGGGGCUAGAGUCCGGAAGAGGCGAGUGGAAUUCCUGGUGUAGCGGUGGAAUGCGCAGAUAUCAGGAAGAACACCGAUGGCGAAGGCAGCUCUCUGGGCCGGUACUGACGCUGAGGAGCGAAAGCGUGGGGAGCAAACAGG